rnacentral:rRNA from 1 species
GACAGAGGGUGCAAACGUUGCUCGGAAUCACUGGGCGUAAAGGGCGUGUAGGCGGGCAUGUAAGUCGGGCGUGAAAUCCCUAGGCUCAACCUAGGAACUGCGCUCGAAACUGCGUGUCUUGAGUAUCGGAGAGGAAAGCGGAAUACCUGGUGUAGAGGUGAAAUUCGUAGAUAUCAGGUGGAACACCAGUGGCGAAGGCGGCUUUCUGGUCCUUAACUGACGCUGAGGCGCGAAAGCAUGGGGAGCGAACGGG